UCGUCAAAAGACAUUUCCGGAGGAAUGAAAUGAUCUCAAUUUUGCGACAGAGCUGUUGAGGACAAGUGCGACUUAUUGACCGUGAGUUGGUUCCGUCGAAAACGGUUAACUCGUGAUCGAGCAAUACGCAGUGGGCGUUAAAACAUGCACGAGUAAAAGGUCCAGGAAUCGCACCCACAAAAGGAGCACCCCGGAACCAUACUCUUUCGGAUCAUUAAGCCCAAUUCAGCACUGACGAAAUCAACAGCGAGCGCAUAUGAAUCAGCCCAUCCUUGCAUGUUCGGGGCAUCAACAUCAGACAAUUGCAUGUUUCGUCAGCAUAACGUAUGAUACCAACAAACACUCACGGUUCAGCGUAGCCAGAAACGUCUACAGACCAACGACUCACACACAAGGCCUUCGAAAGAAGGCCUUAAAUUGCAGUCUGAAUCCUAUAAGCCAUCUUAGGAUUAGCCGCAGCGUGAGCGUCCGGGAAAGUGCAUGUACCCGUAGAGCAAAUGUGCUGACAAUUCCAGCACAAUCCCACUCGUCAUAAGUGAGAAAUUUAAUGUAUGUAGAGAAUAAGGGGUUAAUCUGGUCAAUAUGAUAUGUAUUCCGUAUGCUAAGAAGUUUUGUCUCAUUUGAAGUACAUCUAUAGUCGAGUGUUCCCUAAAACUAUUAUAUUGAAAUGCUUUAGCCGGGCAAUGAUCUGAAAUGAUACGGGACUCGUUCUAAAUUGUGCGUUUUGAUUGAGAUUGCAUUUUAUUGUUGUUUGUGCUUCUGCACCGAAUAGCCUCGGAAAAGGCGAAUAAUUAUUACAAUACCGUUGCGCUUUUGGCACGGAGAGAAAAGGUUGUAUCAAUCAAAGAGAAAUAAUGUCGUCAUUAUAAAGCUGCUCACAUUUCUGAUUUUUUCUGCUGUCACUUGUCAAGUGUAAAAGUUUGCAUUUACUUGUUGUAAUUGUAGUUUUAAUGAGAAAAAUCGAUUUGUUACUUAACAAGAAAUUUUCAAAAGGUGCUGCUUAAACGAAAACCAUACGCCAGAAGUCGCAAAAAAGUUAACGAAACAGUGAGUACCCUGUGAAAGUACUUCUGUAAAAUAUGGCAGAAACAUAACCGAACGGAAUCUAGAGUACUAGAAAAAAAAAAUGAGACGUCAAAAGUUUUGAAUAUGAUUUCUCCAGCGUCUAAAACUGAUAGAGGAAGAAAACUGAUGAGCUUCGAAGAUGAUUGCCCAAAAGUUUAAAAAUUGACGGGCUUUGAAUCUACAAGCAAUGUACACUUAGGCGGAAUUAGCUCAUGCAUUAAAAAGGAAGCUUCACCUACCAGGACAAGACUUGCACGCUUCUGUGGAUCAAAGCAAUUCACCCGACACCUCGAAAUCAAAUAAUUCUUCAAUUCGAUUUUCACCACUCGAAGCUUUGGCUUUGAUUUUAGAUCCAAGCCUUAUCCGAAAAAAGUUACGAAAGGCUACGGAAAGUGGAUUAGGAAAGAAACGUAGACCUUUAUCCAUGCUAUCCUACGGCUGAUUCAAUCAGAAAGAAGUUCUGAUGUAGGGUAAGCGGAUAUUCUCGACAAUACAAAAUUUUA